rnacentral:rRNA from 1 species
AUACGUAGGUGGCAAGCGUUGUCCGGAAUUAUUGGGCGUAAAGCGCAUGUAGGCGGUUUGGUAAGUCGGUCGUGAAAAUGCGGUGCUUAACGCCGUAUGGCGAUUGAAACUGCUGAACUUGAGUGCAGGAGAGGAAGGGGGAACUCCCAGUGUAGCGGUGAAAUGCGUAGAUAUUGGGAAGAACACCGGUGGCGAAGGCGCCUUUCUGGACUGUGUCUGACGCUCAGAUGCGAAAGCCAGGGUAGCGAACGGGAUUAGAUACCCCGGUAGUCCUGGCCGUAAACGAUGGGUACUAGGUGUGGGAGGUAUCGACUCCUUCCGUGCCGGAGUUAACGCAAUAAGUACCCCGCCUGGGGAGUACGGCCGCAAGGCUUAAACUCAAAGGAAUUGACGGGG